AUGGUCAUCACCCUUGUAGGGGAGACGGGUGGCAUUUUUCUGUGGAUCUCUAACUGGUGGAAGGUGUGGCUCUCUCUUAAAACCUUUAAGACAUUAAAGAUGACAAAGGAAACCUUUUGGCUCCUUUUUCAUUGUUUAAUCUCUUGGCAUUCUGUGUAUAUAAAGACUAUCACGGGACAGAAAGCAGAGAUCGUAAAACAGAUACCCUGUGUGCCUGAGUCUAAGGGUUAUACUUAAGGAAAAUCACACUUCUCCAUCAUGAAAGCCUAAAGAAUAAGGCAGAGAGUGGGAUAGGACACUGGAGGGGUUACAUAAGAGCCAUGCAAUGGACAUUCUUUAUAUUCCAUGAAGACUGAACUUGAAUCUGUUGGUUUAGUAGAAUUAUGGAAAGAUUUGGCAAAAAAGAAAUGUCAUGAUUACAUUUUUAAAGUAAAUUUUAAAGUAAAAAUUUGGAGGUCAGAUUGGGGAUCAAGAGUCAAAAUAAGACAAAGGUAGAGGGUCCAGUUCUGGGACACUCCAGUUAAGAGAUGAAGUUAAAUUUGUGGAGAUGAGAAGAUGGGUCAAUACACAUUUUGGAGGUAAAAUUGAUAUGAAUUACCAAUUGUCUGGAGUUGAGGGUGGAAGAGAGUGAGAGACAGAAGAUGAGAGAGGGUAGAGGUUGACUCCAUGUUUUUGCUCAGUGGCCGUGUAUGUUGGUUUUCUAUUGCUGUCACAACAAAUUAUCACAAAUUUAGCCGUUUGAAACCAUACCCAUUAUCUCCCAGUGCAUCUCACCUAGGUCCCCUGCUUAGAUACUCAUAAGGCUGGGUUCCAUUUCCUUCUGGGAGAUUCCAUGAUGAAUCUGCUUCAGGUUAUGUGUUCAAUUCAGUUCCUUGAGUUAUAGCACUUAGGCUCUCAUUUGCUUGCUGGCUGUUAACUGAGGAUUGGUCUUUGCUCCUAGAGGAUGCAGGGAUUCUUUCUCAUGCUUUCCCUAUGGGACCCUUCCAGCAACAGCAGAUAAAGUCCCCCAGCUCCAAAAUAAUUUUUCUACUUUUAAAACUAAUGGGAUUAGACUGUGCCCAUUCAGAUAAUCUAGGAUAAUCUCCCCAUCUCAAGGUCCUUAACCUUAAUCACAUCUGCAAAACCCUUUGCACCCUGUAACACAAAGUAUUCACAGGUUCCAGGGAUUAGGGGAGCCUAAAGAUUAGGGGAUAAUAUUUAGGGGGGCCAUUCUGCCUAUCAUAGACUGUUAAAAAGCUCCUGGAUUUAGUCUAACCAAGCUGCUCAUUUGACAGAUGUUUCUUGUCUGAGGCCAACCAGCUGGUUGGUGGCAGAAGUUGGGUAAAAAUCCAGCCUUCCUGAUUUCUGGGCCAGGUCAUCCAUGACUGUGCAAUUAGUAGCCCCUGACUCUACCUCCUUCAACCCCACCCAAUUGCUCUCUAUCAAAUCACCUUGUUUAUUUCCUUCAUUGAGUCCAUGAGACCCUCAGAUUACAUUAUUAAGUUUAUUCAUUUAUUGACUGUCUUCUUUUACAAGUAUUUAAACUCCCUAUUGAGCUAGAAGUCUAAAGUAGGGAUUUUUGUCUGAUUUGCUCACCACUGAAUCUUCAGUGCUGCAAAUAGUUUUGGUACACAGUUGAAUCAAUAAAUGAAUGAUGAUGAUAAGAUUUGGCCUGAGU
ensembl:lncRNA